AUGGCGAAGCUCCACUUCUUCCUCCUCUUGCUGCUGGCCGCCGCCCAAGCCACUCACGGCGAAGAUGGGGCGUACAUCGGCGUCAACAUCGGCACGGCCAUGUCAUCGGUGCCGGCUGCCACGCAGAUCACCACGCUGCUCCGCUCGCAGAACAUCCGCCACAUCCGCCUCUAUGACGCUGACCCGGGGAUGCUGUCGGCGCUGGCCAACACCGGCAUCCGCGUCAUCAUCUCCGUCCCCAACGAGCAGCUCCUCGCCAUCGGCAACUCCAACGCCACGGCGGCCAAGUGGGUGGCGCGCAACGUGGCCGCCCACUACCCGUCCGUGAACAUCACGGCCAUCGCGGUCGGCUCCGAGGUGCUCUCCACGCUCCCCAACGCUGCGCCGCUCAUCAUGCCCGCCAUGCGCUACCUCCAGAAUGCGCUCGUGGCCGCGGCGCUCGACAAGUACAUCAAGAUCUCCACGCCGCACUCGUCCUCCAUCAUCCUCGACUCCUUCCCGCCGUCGCAGGCCUUCUUCAACCGCUCGCUCGACCCCGUGCUCGUGCCCAUGCUCAAGUUCCUGCAGUCCACCGGCGCCCCGCUCAUGCUCAACGUGUACCCGUACUACGACUACAUGCGCUCCAACGGCGUCAUCCCGCUAGACUACGCGCUGUUUCGGCCUCUGCCACCCAACAAGGAGGCCGUGGACGCCAACACCCUGCUGCACUACACCAACGUCUUCGACGCCGUCGUGGACGCCGCCUACUUCGCCAUGGCGUACCUCAACGUCACCAACGUGCCGGUCAUGGUGACGGAGACCGGGUGGCCGCACAAGGGCGACGCGUCCGCCGAGCCGGACGCCAACAACGACAACGCCGACACGUACAACAGCAACCUCAUCCGGCACGUCAUGAACGUCACCGGCACGCCGAAGCACCCCGGGGUGGCCGUGCCGACGUUCAUCUACGAGCUCUACGACGAGGACACCCGCCCCGGCACAGCAUCCGAGAAGUACUGGGGCCUGUUCGACAUGAACGGCAUCCCGGCGUACGCGCUGCACCUGACGGGCUCCGGCGUGCUGCUGGCCAACGACACGACGAACCAGACCUACUGCGUGGCGCGGGAGGGCGCGGACGAGAAGAUGCUGCAGGCCGCGCUCGACUGGGCGUGCGGCCCGGGGAAGGUGGACUGCUCCGUGCUGACGCAGGGAAAGCCGUGCUAUGACCCGGACACCGUGGAGGAUCAUGCCACGUACGCGUUCAAUGCCUACUACCAUGGGAUGGGGAUGGGCUCGGGGACGUGCUACUUCUCCGGCGUCGCCGUGAUCACGACGACCGAUCCGAGCCAUGGAUCUUGUGUCUAUAGUGGGAAGAACGGCAGCGCGUUGCUGAACGGAACCUCGCUGGCGCCUUCGUCGAACUCCACCACGGACUCCGGCUCCUGGCGAGCAGCCGGCGAUGUGACGUCGUUCGUCCGGAUCGUCGUCACCGCGCUGCUCUUGAGCGUCGUCACUGUGUUGUAG
rnacentral:rRNA from 1 species